rnacentral:lncRNA from 1 species
GCUGAGAACAAGCCUACUGAUAGAAGAAGUAUUUGUAUUCAAAAUAUAGACUAAAUCCCUGUGUUCUCUAAGUAGCUGGCUAGUUGGUAUUUGUUUCAAAAAAAGGUUUUGCUCUUGGGAGCUGAAUUUGACUCUGGCAGCUGGCAGAUCUCUGUCUCUUUCUCUUUUUUUCCUAGAGUGAAAGCUGUAUGGACCUGAAGUUUUUUUCCUAUCCAAAUGACUUUAUGUUUGAAGACUUCAAUUUUUCAGUUGCAUGCCCAAUUCACUGACCUACUCUUUAUUUUAUUGAUGUCUUUGAGAUGAAGUCUUUAAAACUCCUGGAGGAUUCCCUACAAUUUUCUCUAAGCCAUCUGUGUGGGUGUGUGGAAAUGUGGAAGGAAAGAAGGAACGAAGGAAGAAAAAAAGGGAAGGGGUAUGUGAAGAAGGAAAUAAUGAAGGAGGAAGAAACAACAACAAAUAGAAAAAUAUUGCCAGACUCUGUCUUCUAAAGUGAAAACUUCAUAAGCUAUGAAACCAAUUUGGACUCAUAUUCAUGGGCAAAGAUGGACACAGACUAUUGAAGGUGUUCUUAGGGAACAUAUUCUGAGAGUGGCCUUCUGGAGACAAUUACUAUCAUUAUUUUUAGACCAGAUAGAAGAUGAAAGUGAUUUUACUGGUAUGCCUUUGGGGACAAGUGAGGAUCUGUAGACUUCUACCUAUUUUGGCUGUGCAAAUGAUUGACUCCAUUGCACCCCCAACCAUCAAUAAAGUUUUGCCAAAUGAGAUAUGCUUUCCA